AUGACCUCGACCAAUAAGGAUUCAGAAAUCCUUUUCGACCGAGACUUGGAUAGGUAAUCAACUGUCCUCGCCGCAGUGCUGUUGAUGCCAACGGAAGAUGCUGCGAGAACGGCUGAUUCUACGGUGACAGAGCUAUCUAUGCCGACUUAAGAUAUCACCGGUUGCUUUCACAAUGCUGUUGAUGCCAACGGAAGAUGUGUCAGCGAAAAGAGAAAAUAAAAAAUCUCAAAGUUGUUGAGAGAGUUUGCGCAUGGCAGUUUUGUGUGUUGAAUUGGAGGCCUUUGAAUGAUGCGCAGUCUCUUCUAUUUAUAGCAACGGCCCCCCCAAGGUCGAGUUAAAAACCUACUCGGACUAGGUAUUCUUCUCCUGAUCAGUACCAACUCGACCAGUCCUACUUUCACUAGGAUUGUGAACCUAGUCCUUAACCAAGCCGGAUUCACUUCCGGGUCUUGCCGAGACUCCUCAUUGCAUUAGGACUCGACUUCUUGCGUUAUGACCUAGCCGACCUAGGUUUGGAGGCCCACGUACUAAACGAUCCAUGGUAUUCUUGUCGCAAGGCCUUCCGGGCCGAGAAUGAUUCUAUACUCGGCCCAAACUAUUAAUUUGGAUCCAAACAUUGCCCCCCAGUUUUCUUGAGCUUCGGCUCGUAAGCCGAAUGGUUAAGGAAACUAAUUGUGUGUAACCAACAAAAUCUGGUUGUACCGCCGAAAAAGAAACUUUGUUCAUAAUAACAUUUCUGUAUUUAUAUAUAUAUAUGGCAGGUUGAAUGACCCCAUGGCCGAGCACCAAUACUCCAGGCCGAAUGGCCAUAGAAAUAUAUAUAUACAUGGUAGGCCGAAUGACCCCACGGUCAAGGACCAGCACUCGGCAAUAAUACCUUGCCGAGCUUGGGAAUGUUCAGCCUUAAAAUCACCUCAGUUCUGCCAAUGUUGUGAUCUUCCUCUGCAGAGAGCAGAAAAUGAGAGAGCUACCACAGCUCUCGAUUGCCGAGGUCGAGAAAAAACCGUUCCUAGAGCUCGGCCCAAGCUUGGCUUGUCAUUCAACCAUCCACUCCUACACACACACACACACACAUAUAUAUAUAUAUAUAUAUAUAUGUCACCAAAGCCAUAAACCGGUCGAAAAACUGAGGUCAAGCGGAAAGUGGGGCCGAGAAUGAUUCAACCUGCAUAUAUAUAUAUAAACCCAUGUCUUGUAUCUGUCUUGCAUGUCUCUAUCUUUAAUAAUGCAGCCCUUUAUAUAUAUAUAUAUAUAUAUAUCCAUAAAAGUAGCCUGAUGACCUGUGAUAUGCCAGCCAUGCAGUUGGCAUAUUAUAUACAUAUACACGGUUUCACUCAUUCUUGGUGGCAGCACCCUGAAGCAAGAUAUAUAUAUAUAUAUAUAUAUAUAUAACCAAAGCCAUAAACUCAAAUCCUGGCCUAUUGGCUGUAAUGAUGAUGUCUUCCAUGCAAUGUCUCUUUGACUUCGGCCUAAAGGUUGACCGAGCGCAAGCCUAGUACCAAUGUUCUUAUUCGGCCUCGGCCUAAACGGCCGAAAUGCUCUUAUAUCUGUGUUGCCCCCUUAAUUUUCUUAUGCAUCGGCUUGCAUAGCCGUAUGUUUAAGAAAAUAAUUUAUUAUAUAUAUAUAUAUUUAGCAGACAAAAAGAAAAGUGCCCGAAUCAUAAUUAGGAGGAGGCCAAUGAUGCUUUAUUCCAAGCCGAGAUUUUUGUAUAUCAACACAGCCAAUCAAAUUUUGCAUUGAGCCGAAUAAAAAAUGAUCUCCAAAUAUUUCUGACUUGGUGAAAUAUUUUUUAUUUUCGGCCGCCGAAUGUGUUGAACAAUUAUUAUGCCCCCCAGGCAUAAUUUCGGCUUUUAAUUCAAAUAACUUGGCCGAAUGAGAUUUCUCCUUAUCGGCUUCAUCGCUAAUAAUCAUAUCGAUUGACGUGGUUUUUCUGGCUAGGCCUAUGUCUCGGCCUUGUUCGUCAUUGGAGCACUUUUCUGGCGAAUCAUUUUCUGAGUCGAUUUUUGGCUCAGGAACUUGAACCUUUUCUUCUAGGCCUACUACACUUUCAGUCUCGACCGAAACAACAAGUGGCCUAAGUAUUUCUUCGGCUGCCUUAACAAUUUUUUGAGGCCGAAUUUUGAUUGUGGCUGGAGCGAAAAAUUGCCCCCCGGCCUUUGGACCUAACCAUUUUUCAAAUGGAAUUGAUCUGUAAUCAGAAACGUAAGGAAAACGUUCUUCAUCUAGCCAGGCAUCAAAUCGAGCCCUGUCUUCAUGUACCCAUUGCUCUUGCAAGGUAACAGGAGCUUUUAUUUUCAACAUGUAAGCAAAUGACUUUUGCAUCUCUCUAUGGCCACGAAGAAUUUUUUCUACUUCCAAAGAUCUUUUACAUUCCUCGUUUUGUUUUUUCAAUUCCUCUAGGAGCUCGUACAAUCGGCUAUGUUGAGCCAGAUUGGAAUCUUGAUAUAUCAUAUGAACUUCGUAGUAUUAGCACUGUGUCCCACUGGGCGUGCCAAAAUGUUGACCCUAGAAACUACCAAGCCUACGUGGCGCGCAGGCCGAGUAAUCUAUAAGCUAACUACGUCCUUCGGUGAAUGCAGGGCAUGCUAAUCGUCGGUCGAGCUCGGCCGAGGAGUAAAUUUUGUUGAUGUUGCGUUGGGUGCGCGGCUGACUUCUGCUUCUUGCGAUUACGGCCGAGAAAGGAACACGUCUCGGCCUCUUGGGCUCUCGAACCUGAAGACAAGGUUACUAUUCUUACGAAGUUCAAUAUCAAAUUCGGCUUUCAAUGUGCCGAAUGUAAUAACUGUAACACCUCACUUUGCCGAGAAGGCUGAUGAGAUGACCUCGACCAAUAAGGAUUCAGAAAUCCUUCUCGACCGAGACUUGGAUAGGUAAUCAACUGUCCUCGCCACAGUGCUGUUGAUGCCAACGGAAGAUGCUGCGAGAACGGCUGAUUCUACGGUGACAGAGCUAUCUAUGCUGACUUAAGAUAUCACCGGUUGCUUUCACAAUGCUGUUGAUGCCAACGGAAGAUGUGUCAGCGAAAAGAGAAAAUAAAAAAUCUCAAAGUUGUUGAGAGAGUUUGCGCAGGGCAGUUUUGUGUGUUGAAUUGGAGGCCUUUGAAUGAUGCGCAGUCUCUUCUAUUUAUAGCAACGGCCCCCCCAAGGUCGAGUUAAAAACCUACUCGGACUAGGUCUUCUUCUCCUGAUCAGUACCAACUCGACCAGUCCUACUUUCACUAGGAUUGUGAACCUAGUCCUUAACCGAGCCGGAUUCGCUUCUGGGUCUUGCCGAGACUCCUCAUUGCAUUAGGACUCGACUUCUUGCGUUAUGACCUAGCCGACCUAGGUUUGGAGGCCCACGUACUAAACGAUCCAUGGUAUUCUUGUCGCAAGGCCUUCCGGGCCCAGAAUGAUUCUAUACUCGGCCCAAACUAUUAAUUUGGAUCCAAAUAGAAACACAGGAUUAGAACAUAAAGGCAGAAUGAAAAUGUUAUCACAAUGCAAAACUGGAGGGUGAGGCAAGAACACAUGUAAAUCCUUCAAAAUAAAAUGAAUCCAUGCUACAUGAGUAGCUGCAUUAGUUAAAGCCUUAUAUUUAGCCUCUAUAGAACUUCUAGACACACUACAAUGCUUCUUUGUUGAUUUUGGACAAGAAAACAACAUAACCUAUGGCAGAACUUCUAGACACACUACAAUGCUUCUUUGUUUAAGACUAUAGA
rnacentral:lncRNA from 1 species